CAGCCGCCGCGGGAAUACGUAGGUGGCAAGCGUUGUCCGGAAUUAUUGGGCGUAAAGGGCUCGCAGGCGGUUUCUUAAGUCUGAUGUGAAAGCCCCCGGCUCAACCGGGGAGGGUCAUCGGAAACUGGGAAACUUGAGUGCAGAAGAGGAGAGUGGAAUUCCACGUGUAGCGGUGAAAUGCGUAGAGAUGUGGAGGAACACCAGUGGCGAAGGCGACUCUCUGGUCUGUAACUGACGCUGAGGAGCGAAAGCGUGGGGAGCGAACAGGAUUAGAUACCCGCGUAGUCCCUGUCUCUUAUAC
rnacentral:rRNA from 1 species